GGGAGGACCCGGAUGUCAUCAGAGGACGACCACUUGUGCAGGAAGGAGCCUGGUGCCCGAGGAGUAGUGAAGAUGUUGGUCUCAUCGUGGGACAGGCGGCGGGACAGAGGGACCUGGGGAGAGGAAUAAGUAGACCCAGAGGCCAGGGCUCCGGAAUGGGGCGUCGGGAUGGAGAACAGAAACUGGAGAAAAGUAGUGAGGGGAUACCCAGAAGAGGAGGUGCAUUCCCUGGACCCGUACCUGGAUGUCUUGGCCGACUCGGAGCCAUCCAGCGAGGACC